CUUCCACACAGCUCUCCUGCCAGCCAUGGACGGUGUGGACAGUAAUCUGGGCUGACAUCCACCCAGCUAUGGUAAGGCCUCAGGUUCACUGUGGUCUCUAGCUUCCCUGAUAGCACGCCUGCUCUCAGACUCUGGCCACAGUGGACUUACUUUCACAAAGUAUACAGAGAGGGUAGCAUUGGACAUCUUAGUCUCCCCAAAAGUCCGAAUGUUGAAGGCUGCAAUUCUCAGAGUCCCAGCCAACUGCAGCAGGUUGACCAAGGUGAGCAGUGUUCCCAUUAGCCCUGUGUACCGCAUCCUGUGAGAUUGGAUGGUCAGGACAAAGAAGCAGUGAAGCUCCCAUCCCCAUCAAAGACUAAAGCCUAGCUUGUGCUGAACCAGUGGGAGGCCCUCAGUCCUUCCCCUGUACUUACCUGAAAGCCAAUCUGAGACGGCUGCAGCAGUCAGAACAGACCUGCUCUGUUUGUAUGAUGAGCCCCCGAGUCUGCACUGGAACUGGAUGAACAAGAUGCUGUCUCUACCAUGCCGAACAUCAACAGUAGGACCAGGAGCACACUCUGGAGGUACAAGAACCAGGAAGGUAGAAGCAGCUGAGUGCUUCUGGAGUUUUCAGUCAGAUCAACAAGGAAGUAUGUGCUGACAGCCAGUGACCAUAAGGAACACUGGCCACUUUUACGGAUCAGGUGAGCUUUUUAAAGGUCAGCUCUGAUUAUUUACAAUGUUCUCUUUAAAUUACUCUUGUCACAGAUACCAAAUGGGGAAGUAACGAAUAGCAAUAGAUUAUUAAAGUGUGAGCCAAGUCAAAGGAUAUGG
rnacentral:lncRNA from 1 species